CAGUGAAAAGCCAAAUAGAGGCAUUUACCUGUUAAUUAAACAAUUGUAAUAUCACAUUACUUCACUGG
rnacentral:tRNA from 1 species